rnacentral:lncRNA from 1 species
UUAAAACUGUUCAGGAAAAAAUUGCAUUCUAUACACAUGUAUAAAUUAUUCUAAAUUCACCUAAGGAUCUUCUUCUACACAUGUUGUUUAUUAGUCAUGCCUUCGCCGCGAGAUAAGCCUGCAUCGGUUUACACAAGUCUUCCGAUGGGAAUUUUAGCGGAGUUGAAGAAUCAUGCAGACAUGACUAAACUUGAAAGUUUCAGUUACUGGAUUACCUUUUUUGGAAUGAUGAUAUUAGACUUAUGUCGCUAUCAUGUGAAAUAAAGCUUAUAAAAUACAUGUGUUGAUUACUUGUUUGAUUGCAAAUUCUGUUGAAAAUUUGGUCAGAUUUUGGUUGGAAAAUGGUUAGAUUUUGGUU